GCCUGGGUGGCUCAGUCGGUUGAGCAUCCGACUUCGGCUCAGGUCAUGAUCUCAUGGUCCGUGGGUUCGAGCCCCGCGUUGGGCU
rnacentral:tRNA from 1 species